rnacentral:miRNA from 1 species
UAAUCUCAACCGAUGAAUCCGAG